UAACACGGAGGGUGCGAGCGUUAAUCGGAAUUACUGGGCGUAAAGCGCAUGCAGGUGGUUUGUUAAGUCAGAUGUGAAAGCCCGGGGCUCAACCUCGGAAUUGCAUUUGAAACUGGCAGACUAGAGUACUGUAGAGGGGGGUAGAAUUUCAGGUGUAGCGGUGAAAUGCGUAGAGAUCUGAAGGAAUACCGGUGGCGAAGGCGGCCCCCUGGACAGAUACUGACACUCAGAUGCGAAAGCGUGGGGAGCAAACAGGAUUAGAUACCCUGGUAGUCCACGCCGUAAACGAUGUCUACUUGGAGGUUGUGGCCUUGAGCCGUGGCUUUCGGAGCUAACGCGUUAAGUAGACCGCCUGGGGAGUACGGUCGCAAGAUUAAAACUCAAAUGAAUUGACGGGGGCCCGCACAAGCGGUGGAGCAUGUGGUUUAAUUCGAUGCAACGCGAAGAACCUUACCUACUCUUGACAUCCAGAGAACUUUCCAGAGAUGGAUUGGUGCCUUCGGGAACUCUGAGACAGGUGCUGCAUGGCUGUCGUCAGCUCGUGUUGUGAAAUGUUGGGUUAAGUCCCGCAACGAGCGCAACCCUUAUCCUUGUUUGCCAGCGAGUAAUGUCGGGAACUCCAGGGAGACUGCCGGUGAUAAACCGGAGGAAGGUGGGGACGACGUCAAGUCAUCAUGGCCCUUACGAGUAGGGCUACACACGUGCUACAAUGGCGCAUACAGAGGGCAGCCAACUUGCGAGAGUGAGCGAAUCCCAAAAAGUGCGUCGUAGUCCGGAUCGGAGUCUGCAACUCGACUCCGUGAAGUCGGAAUCGCUAGUAAUCGUGGAUCAGAAUGCCACGGUGAAUACGUUCCCGGGCCUUGUACACACCGCCCGUCACACCAUGGGAGUGGGCUGCAAAAGAAGUAGGUAGUUUAACCUUCGGGAGGACGCUUACCACUUUGUGGUUCAUGACUGGGGUGAAGUCGUAACAAGGUAGCCG
rnacentral:rRNA from 1 species